rnacentral:rRNA from 1 species
UAAGUGGAUAGUGAAACCUGGUGGCUCAACCAUUCAGACUAUUAUCCAAACUGCUAAGCUCGAGAAUGGUAGAGGUAAUUGGAAUUUCUAGUGUAGGAGUGAAAUCCGUAGAUAUUAGAAGGAACACCGAUGGCGUAGGCAGAUUACUGGACCAUUUCUGACGCUAAGGCACGAAAGCGUGGGGAGCGAACCGGAUUAGAUACCCGGGUAGUCCACGCCGUAAACGAUGGAUGCUA